rnacentral:lncRNA from 1 species
UUUAAUGAAAUAAUAAAUUAUUAAAAAUCAGUAAAAAAAACAUAAUAUUCCCUUGAUCUUAUUUAUAAAAAAAUUGACUUUUUAAAUUCAUUGAACAAUUAAUGUAUUUUGUCCAUGAUAUAGUCCAGAUUUUAAAGAGUAAAUUUUCUCAUAAAUAGAAAUUGAGGUAGUAUAAAAAUAUAAAAUUAAUCCAUAGAUUUUAAAAAAAAAUAAAGUCAU